GCAUGGGGACAGUGGUGGUUCAGGGGUAGAAUUCUUGCCUUACAGGCAGGAGACCCGGGUUCAAUUCCCGGCCGAUGCA
rnacentral:tRNA from 1 species